rnacentral:misc_RNA from 1 species
GAUGAAGAACGCAGCGAAAUGCGAUAAGUAGUGUGAAUUGCAGAAUUCAGUGAAUCAUCGAAUCUUUGAACGCACAUUGCGCCCGCUGGUAUUCCGGCGGGCAUGCCUGUUCGAGCGUCAUUUCAACCCUCAAACCCCCCGGGUUUGGUGUUGGGGAUCGGCUCUGCCUCACGGCGGUGCCGCCCCCGAAAUACAUUGGCGGUCUCGCUGCAGCCUCCAUUGCGUAGUAGCUAACACCUCGCAACUGGAACGCGGCGCGGCCAUGCCGUAAAACCCCAACUUCUGAAUGUUGACCUCGGAUCAGGUAGGAAUACCCGCUGAACUUAAGCAUAUCAAUAAGCGGAGGA